rnacentral:antisense_RNA from 1 species
CUUGACCGACCCCAGCCACAGCGGGUGGUCCGCGGACCGGUUUCUCCCGUAGGUCGCUUGCAGCGCCUGCGCCUC